GAUUGAUCUUAAUCAGGAGGAUGACUCGCGCGUUAGUGUGUUGGAGGCAUUCGAUCCUUUGCUCAAUGCGGAUGAAGAAGUAUGGAAAAAAUAACCAACACAUUUUGUUGCAAGCAAAACGUUUUUCUACUACCACACAUACAUACACAUACUUUAAACGAC